rnacentral:rRNA from 1 species
UGGGGAAUAUUGGACAAUGGGCGCAAGCCUGAUCCAGCCAUGCCGCGUGCAGGAUGACGGUCCUAUGGAUUGUAAACUGCUUUUGUACAGGAAGAAACAGUUCUACGUGUAGAACCUUGACGGUACUGUAAGAAUAAGGAUCGGCUAACUCCGUGCCAGCAGCCGCGGUAAUACGGAGGAUCCAAGCGUUAUCCGGAAUCAUUGGGUUUAAAGGGUCCGUAGGCGGUUAGAUAAGUCAGUGGUGAAAGCCCAUCGCUCAACGGUGGAACGGCCAUUGAUACUGUCUGACUUGAAUUAUUAGGAAGUAACUAGAAUAUGUAGUGUAGCGGUGAAAUGCUUAGAGAUUACAUGGAAUACCAAUUGCGAAGGCAGGUUACUACUAAUGGAUUGACGCUGAUGGACGAAAGCGUGGGUAGCGAACAGGAUUAGAUACCCUGUAGUCCCUGAGCGGGCUGGCAAGGCGCAU